rnacentral:rRNA from 1 species
AGCGUUGUCCGGAAUUAUUGGGCGUAAAGCGCGCGCAGGCGGCCUUUUAAGUCUGAUGUGAAAGCCCCCGGCUCAACCGGGGAGGGUCAUUGGAAACUGGAAGGCUUGAGUGCAGAAGAGAAGAGCGGAAUUCCACGUGUAGCGGUGAAAUGCGUAGAGAUGUGGAGGAACACCAGUGGCGAAGGCGGCUCUUUGGUCUGUAACUGACGCUGAGGCGCGAAAGCGUGGGGAGCGAACAGGAUUAGAUACCCUGGUAGUCCACGCCGUAAACGAUGAGUGCUAAGUGUUGGGGGGUUUCCGCCCCUCAGUGCUGCAGCUAACGCAUUAAGCACUCCGCCUGGGGAGUACGGCCGCAAGGCUGAAACUCAAAGGAAUUGACGGGGGCCCGCACAAGCGGUGGAGCAUGUGGUUUAAUUCGAAGCAACGCGAAGAACCUUACCAGGUCUUGACAUCCCGCUGACCGCCCUGGAGACAGGGCUUCCCCUUCGGGGGCAGCGGUGACAGGUGGUGCAUGGUUGUCGUCAGCUCGUGUCGUGAGAUGUUGGGUUAAGUCCCGCAACGAGCGCAACCCUUGAUCUUAGUUGCCAGCAUUCAGUUGGGCACUCUAAGGUGACUGCCGGUGACAAACCGGAGGAAGGUGGGGAUGACGUCAAAUCAUCAUGCCCCUUAUGACCUGGGCUACACACGUGCUACAAUGGAUGGUACAAAGGGCUGCAAGNCCGCGAGGUUUAGCCAAUCCCAUANAACCAUUCUCAAUUCGGAUUGCAGNCUGC